rnacentral:rRNA from 1 species
UACGAAGGGGGCUAGCGUUGUUCGGAAUUACUGGGCGUAAAGCGCACGUAGGCGGAUUUGUAAGUCAGGGGUGAAAUCCUGGAGCUCAACUCCAGAACUGCCUUUGAUACUGGCGAUCUUGAGUCAGGGAGAGGUGAGUGGAACUGCGAGUGUAGAGGUGAAAUUCGUAGAUAUUCGCAAGAACACCAGUGGCGAAGGCGGCUCACUGGCCCGGUACUGACGCUGAGGUGCGAAAGCGUGGGGAGCAAACAGG